rnacentral:rRNA from 1 species
AGCGAACGCUGGCGGCAGGCCUAACACAUGCAAGUCGAACGAGAUCUUCGGAUCUAGUGGCAGACGGGUGAGGAACACGUGGGAACAUCCCUUUCAGUUCGGAAUGACGUUGGGAAACUAACGCUAAUACCGGAUACGUCCUUCGGGAGAAAGAUUUAUCGCUGAAAGAUUGGCCCGCGUCUGAUUAGCUAGUUGGUGAGGUAAUGGCUCACCAAGGCUACGAUCAGUAGCUGAUCUGAGAGGAUGAUCAGCCACAUUGGGACUGAGACACGGCCCAAACUCCUACGGGAGGCAGCAGUGGGGAAUAUUGGACAAUGGGCGCAAGCUUGAUCCAGCCAUGCCGCGUGAGUGAUGAAGGCCUUCGGGUUGUAAAGCUCUUUUAUCCGGGAAGAUAAUGACUGUACCGGAAGAAUAAGCCCCGGCAAACUUCGUGCCAGCAGCCGCCGUAAUAC